rnacentral:rRNA from 1 species
UACAGAGGUCUCAACCGUUGUUCGGAUUCAUUGGGCGUAAAGGGUGCGUAGGCGGUCGCGCAAGUCGGAUGUGAAAUCUUAGGGCUCAACCCUGAAACUGCAUUCGAUACUGCGUGGCUAGAGUACUGGAGAGGAGACUGGAAUUUACGGUGUAGCAGUGAAAUGCGUAGAUAUCGUAAGGAAGACCAGUGGCGAAGGCGGAUCUCUGGGCCAUUACUGACGCUGAGGAGCGAAAGCGUGGGGAGCGAACAGG